rnacentral:rRNA from 1 species
GUGAGGAAUUUUCCGCAAUGGGCGAAAGCCUGACGGAGCAAUGCCGCGUGAAGGAUGAAGGCCUAUGGGUUGUAAACUUCUUUUCUCAGAAAAGAAUUAUGACGGUAUCUGAGGAAUAAGCAUCGGCUAACUCUGUGCCAGCAGCCGCGGUAAGACAGAGGAUGCAAGCGUUAUCAGGAAUGAUUGGGCGUAAAGCGUCUGUAGGUUGUUUAAAAAGUAUUCUGUCAAAGAUUAGGGCUUAACCCUAGAUAGGCAGAAUAAACUUUUAAGCUAGAGUUUGGUAGAGGCAGAGGGAAUGCCCGGUGGAGCGGUGAAAUGCGUAGAUAUCGGGAGGAACACCAAAGGCGAAGGCACUCUGCUGGGCCAAUACUAACACUGAGAGACGAAAGCGAGGGGAGCAAAUGGGAUUAGAAACCCGGGUAGUCC